rnacentral:rRNA from 1 species
UACGUAGGGGGCAAGCGUUGUCCGGAUUUAUUGGGCGUAAAGCGCGUGUAGGCGGUCAGGCAGGUCGGUUGUGAAAACUGGAGGCUCAACCUUCAGAGGUCGACCGAAACCAUCUGGCUAGAGUCCGGGAGAGGAGAGUGGAAUUCCUGGUGUAGCGGUGAAAUGCGCAGAUAUCAGGAAGAACACCCGUGGCGAAAGCGGCUCUCUGGAACGGUACUGACGCUGAGACGCGAAAGCGUGGGGAGCGAACAGG